rnacentral:rRNA from 1 species
CGCGUGGGGGAGGAAGCCUUUGGGUUGUAAACCCCUUUUCUCAGGGAAGAAGAAAGUGACGGUACCUGAGGAAUCAGCCUCGGCUAACUCCGUGCCAGCAGCCGCGGUAAUACGGAGGAGGCAAGCGUUAUCCGGAAUGAUUGGGCGUAAAGCGUCCGCAGGUGGCUCAUCAAGUCUGCUGUUAAAUCCAGUAGCUUAACUACUGACAAGCAGUGGAAACUGAGGAGCUAGAGUGCGGUAGGGGCAGAGGGAAUUCCUGGUGUAGCGGUGAAAUGCGUAGAGAUCAGGAAGAACACCGGUGGCGAAAGCGCUCUGCUGGGCCGCAACUGACACUCAGG